rnacentral:rRNA from 1 species
UCUGGCGGCUGUAGCGCGGUGGUCCCACCUGACCUCAUGCCGAACUCAGAAGUGAAACGCCGUAGCGCCGAUGGUAGUGUGGGGUCUCCCCAUGCGAGAGUAGGGAACUGCCAGAC